rnacentral:misc_RNA from 1 species
GGUGAAGAACGUAGCGAAAUGCGAUAAGUAAUGUGAAUUGCAGAAUUCAGUGAAUCAUCGAAUCUUUGAACGCACCUUGCGCCCUUUGGCUAUUCCGAAGGGCAUGCCUGUUUGAGUAUCAUGAACACCUCAACUCUCAUGGUUUGCCAUGAUGAGCUUGGACUUUGGGGGUCUUGCCGGCCUAUGGGUCGGCUCCUCUCAAAUUAAUCAGCUUGCCAGUGUUUGGUGGCAUCACAGGUGUGAUAACUAUCUACGCUUGUGGUUUUCCAUCAGGUAACCUUCAGUGAUGGAGGUUCGCUGGGGCUCAUAAAUGUCUCUCCUCAGUGAGGACAGCUUUUUUGAACGUUUGAUCUCAAAUCAGGUAGGACUACCCGCUGAACUUAAGCAUAUCAAUAAGCGGAGGA